ACCUCAAGUCAUGUGAGAGUACCCGCUGAACUUAAGCAUAUCAAUAAGCGGAGGAAAAGAAACUAACAAGGAUUCCCCUAGUAACGGCGAGUGAAGCGGGAAGAGCACAAAUUUAAAAUCUACCUGGUUUUCAGGUCGAGUUGUAAUUUGAGGAUACGUUUUUGACGUUCUGGGUUGGACUAAAUCCUUUGGGAUAAGGUAUCAUAGAGGGUGAGAAUCCCGUAUAUACCAACCGUAGGGAUGUUAUUAAAUACGUUUCUAAGAGUCGAGUUGUUUGGGAAUGCAGCUCUAAAUGGGUGGUAAAUUUCACCUAAUGCUAAAUAUAAGCGAGAGACCGAUAGCGAACAAGUACAGUGAUGGAAAGAUGAAAAGAACUUUGAAAAGAGAGUUAAAUAGUACGUGAAAUUGUUGAAAGGGAAACGAUUGAAGUCAGUCAUGCCGGUGGGAAUCAACUUAGGGGAAACUCUGGGUGCACUUCUUCGCUUGGCAGGUCAACGUCGAUUUUGAAUGUCAUAAAAUAAUUGGGGGAAGGUAGCUCCUUCGGGAGUGUUAUAGCCCUUGAUAGAUGUGAUGUUUGAGGUCGAGGAUUGCAACGGAUACCCUUCGGGGCUAGCUGCCUGAUCUCUAAUUGGUGUUGGGUUACGGAUAGCAUGCUGACCGUGAUCUAAUUACUGGUUAAAAGGUUAGAGUGUGCAUAAAUUCGUUAAGGACGUUGACGUAAUGGCUUUAAACGACCCGUCUUGAAACACGGACCAAGGAGUCUAACAUGUAUGCGAGUGUUAGGGUAUUAAACCCAGACGCGAAAUGAAAGUGAGUGUAGGUGGGAUCCUUUAUUGGAGCACCAUCGACCGAUCUUGAGAUUUAUCGANAGAGUNNNUAGAGC
rnacentral:rRNA from 1 species